GAAUAUUGCACAAUGGGCGCAAGCCUGAUGCAGCGACGCCGCGUGAGGGAUGACGGCCUUCGGGUUGUAAACCUCUUUCAGUAGGGAAGAAGCGAGAGUGACGGUACCUGCAGAAGACGCGCCGGCCAACUACGUGCCAGCAGCCGCGGGAAUACGUAGGGCGCAAGCGGUAUCCGGAUUGAUUGGGCGUAAAGAGCUCGUAGGCGGUUUGUCGCGUCUGCCGUGAAAGUCCGAGGCUCAACCGCGGAUCUGCGGUGGGUACGGGCAGACUAGAGUGAUGUAGGGGAGACUGGAAUUCCUGGUGUAGCGGUGAAAUGCGCAGAUAUCAGGAGGAACACCGAUGGCGAAGGCAGGUCUCUGGGCAUUUACUGACGCUGAGGAGCGAAAGCAUGGGGAGCGAACA
rnacentral:rRNA from 1 species